UACAGAGGGUGCGAGCGUUGUUCGGAAUUACUGGGCGUAAAGCGUGCGUAGGUGGUUUUUUAAGUCUGCUGUGAAAUCCCCGGGCUCAACCUGGGAAUGGCAGUGGAUACUGGAAAGCUAGAGUGUGAGAGAGGAUGGUGGAAUUCCCGGUGUAGCGGUGAAAUGCGUAGAGAUCGGGAGGAACAUCAGUGGCGAAGGCGGCCAUCUGGCUCAACACUGACACUGAGGCACGAAAGCUAGGGGAGCGAACAGG
rnacentral:rRNA from 1 species